UACGAAGGGGGCUAGCGUUGUUCGGAAUCACUGGGCGUAAAGGGCGCGUAGGCGGCUUUAUAAGUCGGGGGUGAAAGCCUGUGGCUCAACCACAGAAUUGCCUUCGAUACUGUAGAGCUUGAGACCGGAAGAGGUAAGUGGAACUGCGAGUGUAGAGGUGAAAUUCGUAGAUAUUCGCAAGAACACCAGUGGCGAAGGCGGCGACCUGGGUAGAUACUGACGCUGAGGUGCGAAAGCGUGGGGAGCAAACAGG
rnacentral:rRNA from 1 species